UACGUAGGGUGCAAGCGUUGUCCGGAAUUAUUGGACGUAAAGAGCUCGUAGGCGGUUUGUCGCGUCGGCUGUGAAAACCUGGGGCUUAACUCCGGGCCUGCAGCCGAUACGGGCAGACUAGAGUUCGGCAGGGGAGACUGGAAUUCCUGGUGUAGCGGUGAAAUGCGCAGAUAUCAGGAGGAACACCGGUGGCGAAGGCGGGUCUCUGGGCCGAUACUGACGCUGAGGAGCGAAAGCGUGGGGAGCAAACAGG
rnacentral:rRNA from 1 species